rnacentral:rRNA from 1 species
GUAGAGACUGGCGGAGGUAGAGCACUGAAUUCCUAGGGGCGUCAAAGACUUACCGAAGAAUAUCAAACUCCGAAUGCCGCAAAGUUGCUUACCGGGAGUCAGACUGCACGAGAUAAGUUGGGCAGUCAAAAGGGAAAGAGCCCAGACCUUCAGCUAAGGUCCCAAAGUGCGUGUUAAGUGGAAAAGGAUGUGGGAUUUCGAAGACAACCAGGAUGUUGGCUCAGAAGCAGCCAUCCAUUCAAAGAGUGCGUAAUAGCUCACUGGUCGAGAGGUCCUGCGCCGAAAAUGUCCGGGGCUAAAACACGCCACCGAAGCUAAGGAAUGAUACGACGUAUCAUUGGUAGAGGAGCAUUCUUAAGGGGACGAAGCUGUACCGUAAGGAGCAGUGGACGCUUAAGAAGAGAGAAUGCCGGAAUGAGUAGCGAGAUGAAGGUGGGAAUCCUUCAGGCCGAAUAUCUAAGGUUUCCAGGGUAAAGCUGAUCUGCCCUGGGUAAGUCGGGGCCUAAGGCGAGGCUGAAAAGCGUAGCCGAUGGACAACAGGUUGAGAUUCCUGUACUGCAGUAAAACAGAACUGUGGGGACACAGAGGGAAAGCACAAGCCGGGAAUGGAAAGACCGGCACAAGCGGGGUAUCCGUAUGGAAGGCAAAUCCGCCAUACAAGGAGAAGACGUGACGUGUACCGAAAAUUAGUAGGGAAGUGUGUGAGCCAGCUGUCGAGAAAAGCCGCUAUUGUUUUUACUGCACCCGUACCGUAAACCGACACAGGUGGAUGAGGAGAGAAUCCUAAGGCCGACGGAAGAAGCAUUGUCAAGGAACUCGGCAAAAUGACCCCGUAACUUCGGGAGAAGGGGUGCCCCUUUAAGGAGGGGCCGCAGAGAAUAGGCCCAAGCAACUGUUUAGCAAAAACACAGGUCUAUGCAAAACCGCAAGGUGAAGUAUAUGGGCUGACGCCUGCCCGGUGCUGGAAGGUUAAGGGGAGAUGUCAGUGCGUAAGCACGAAGCAUUGAACUUAAGCCCCAGUAAACGGCGGCCGUAACAAUAACGGUCCUAAGGUAGCGAAAUUCCUUGUCGGGUAAGUUCCGACCCGCACGAAAGGCGUAAUGAUUUGGGCGCUGUCUCGACAAUGCAUCCGGUGAAAUUGAAGUACCAGUGAAGAUGCUGGUUACCCGCGCCAGGACGGAAAGACCCCAUGGAGCUUUACUCCAGUUUGGCACUGGGAUUCGAUAUUGCAUGUACAGGAUAGGCGGGAGGCAAGUGAAGUAGAGACGCCAGUCWCGACGGAGCCGAUGUUGGGAUACCGCCCUUGCAGCAUUGGGUUCUAACCCGCACCGUGAACCGGUGGGGGA